GCCCCCAUCGUCUAGCGGCCUAGGACGUCGCCCUUUCACGGCGGUAACACGGGUUCAAAUCCCGUUGGGGGUGCCA
rnacentral:tRNA from 2 species